rnacentral:rRNA from 1 species
GUAGUCCACGCCCUAAACGAUGUGUACUCGCUAUCGGGUAGUUUACUACUCGGUGGCCAAGCUAACGCGAUAAGUACACCGCCUGGGGAAUACGAUCGCAAGAUUAAAACUCAAAGGAAUUGACGGGGACCCGCACAAGCGGUGGAGCAUGUUGUUUAAUUCGAUGAUACACGAGGAACCUUACCAGCCCUUGACAUGUACGUUAUACUUUCUGGAAACAGAUCGUUUCGGUUCGGCCGGGCGUAUACAGGUGUUGCAUGGCCGUCGUCAGCUCGUGUCGUGAGAUGUUGGGUUAAGUCCCGCAACGAGCGCAACCCCUAUUGUUAGUUGCCAGCAUUCAGUUGGGCACUCUAACGAGACUGCCGAUGAUAAAUCGGA